UGCAAGUAGAACGCUGAAGAGAGGAGCUUGCUCUUCUUGGAUGAGUUGCGAACGGGUGAGUAACGCGUAGGUAACCUGCCUUGUAGCGGGGGAUAACUAUUGGAAACGAUAGCUAAUACCGCAUAACAAUGGAUGACACAUGUCAUUUAUUUGAAAGGGGCAAUUGCUCCACUACAAGAUGGACCUGCGUUGUAUUAGCUAGUAGGUGAGGUAAUGGCUCACCUAGGCGACGAUACAUAGCCGACCUGAGAGGGUGAUCGGCCACACUGGGACUGAGACACGGCCCAGACUCCUACGGGAGGCAGCAGUAGGGAAUCUUCGGCAAUGGGGGCAACCCUGACCGAGCAACGCCGCGUGAGUGAAGAAGGUUUUCGGAUCGUAAAGCUCUGUUGUAAGUCAAGAACGGGUGUGAGAGUGGAAAGUUCACACUGUGACGGUAGCUUACCAGAAAGGGACGGCUAACUACGUGCCAGCAGCCGCGGUAAUACGUAGGUCCCGAGCGUUGUCCGGAUUUAUUGGGCGUAAAGCGAGCGCAGGCGGUUUGAUAAGUCUGAAGUUAAAGGCUGUGGCUCAACCAUAGUUCGCUUUGGAAACUGUCAAACUUGAGUGCAGAAGGGGAGAGUGGAAUUCCAUGUGUAGCGGUGAAAUGCGUAGAUAUAUGGAGGAACACCGGUGGCGAAAGCGGCUCUCUGGUCUGUAACUGACGCUGAGGCUCGAAAGCGUGGGGAGCGAACAGGAUUAGAUACCCUGGUAGUCCACGCCGUAAACGAUGAGUGCUAGGUGUUGGAUCCUUUCCGGGAUUCAGUGCCGCAGCUAACGCAUUAAGCACUCCGCCUGGGGAGUACGACCGCAAGGUUGAAACUCAAAGGAAUUGACGGGGGCCCGCACAAGCGGUGGAGCAUGUGGUUUAAUUCGAAGCAACGCGAAGAACCUUACCAGGUCUUGACAUCCCGAUGCUAUUUCUAGAGAUAGAAAGUUACUUCGGUACAUCGGUGACAGGUGGUGCAUGGUUGUCGUCAGCUCGUGUCGUGAGAUGUUGGGUUAAGUCCCGCAACGAGCGCAACCCCUAUUGUUAGUUGCCAUCAUUCAGUUGGGCACUCUAGCGAGACUGCCGGUAAUAAACCGGAGGAAGGUGGGGAUGACGUCAAAUCAUCAUGCCCCUUAUGACCUGGGCUACACACGUGCUACAAUGGUUGGUACAACGAGUUGCGAGUCGGUGACGGCGAGCUAAUCUCUUAAAGCCAAUCUCAGUUCGGAUUGUAGGCUGCAACUCGCCUACAUGAAGUCGGAAUCGCUAGUAAUCGCGGAUCAGCACGCCGCGGUGAAUACGUUCCCGGGCCUUGUACACACCGCCCGUCACACCACGAGAGUUUGUAACACCCGAAGUCGGUGAGGUAACCUU
rnacentral:rRNA from 1 species